GACGAACGCUGGCGGCGUGCUUAACACAUGCAAGUCGAACGGAAAGGCCCUGCUUUUGUGGGGUGCUCGAGUGGCGAACGGGUGAGUGACACGUGAGUAACCUGCCCUUGACUUUGGGAUAACUUCAGGAAACUGGGGCUAAUACCGGAUAGGAGCUCCUGCUGCAUGGUGGGGGUUGGAAAGUUUCGGCGGUUGGGGAUGGACUCGCGGCUUAUCAGCUUGUUGGUGGGGUAGUGGCUUACCAAGGCUUUGACGGGUAGCCGGCCUGAGAGGGUGACCGGCCACAUUGGGACUGAGAUACGGCCCAGACUCCUAUGGGAGGCAGCAGUGGGGAAUAUUGCACAGUGGGCGGAAGCCUGAUGCAGCAACGCCGCGUGCGGGAUGACGGCCUUCGGGUUGUAAACCGCUUUCGCCUGUGACGAAGCGUGAGUGACGGUAAUGGGUAAAGAAGCACCGGCUAACUACGUG
rnacentral:rRNA from 1 species